rnacentral:lncRNA from 10 species
AUUGACAUUAGUCAAGAUGUGGAAUCAAGCUAAGUGUCCAUCAACAGAUGAAAAGAUUUUAAAAAGUGAUAUAUAUGUAUGUGUGUGUAUAUACAUGUAUGUAUGUAUAUGUGUGUCUGUGUAUGUCUCUCUCUCAUAUAUAAUGAAAUAUUAUUCAGUCUUCAAAAAAAAGGAAUGCUUCCAUGCCUUCCACAUGUGACAACAUGGAUAAAUCUAGAGGGCAUUAUGCUAAGUGAAAUGAACCAGAAACAGGAAGACAAAUCCUGCGUGUAUCACUUACAUGUGGAAUCUAAAAAAGUUGAACUCUUUAGGCACCAAUAUUUUUAAAGUAGGAUCAUUUCUCCUAAUAAUAUGAAUUUCCAGUUUUUCCAGAAAGAUAGCAAGAAUUACAAUGCUGGGUCACAAUGGCACGAUAGUCUGAGGCUAAGGCCCACUUCAGAUAAAGCAUGCAUUCUUUGUUUACCUCAGUGUCUGCUCACCACAAUUUAUUCACUGCUAAUACCCUCUUGUUCCCUGCAGGUACAUCUGUGUGUGACACCUAUGUGUGUUUUUCAAAGAGCAAAAGUCUUUAUAACUAUAGGAGCUUAUUGAGAUAAAGAAAACUACAGCUUUUUAAAGACGUUUGAUGCCAAGACUCAGAGGGGAUUGGAUCUCACCUUCGGAUCCCCAUUUACUCCACCCUGAUAAGGAGGCCUCUCUGGUCCCUUGGUGCUCCAUUCCUAACUGGCAGUCCGGGGACCCAAUGGUGUGUCCUACAUCUGGUCUUGUGCUCUGUAGUCUCGUCUGUUGGUUGUGUGUCUACAGAAGCCUUGAAAUAUUAACUUCAAAAUAUUAUCAUCACAGUAGACCACGCCUGGGCUGGAUUUCUUCCUGGGCAAGUCUCUAACUAGAACGCAAAAAAAGUCAAGCCAAAAGGUUGGGUCAUGUAUGACCUUCUGCAAGAGAUGUGGACAACAUCACCAAGAAUAUUGACAGCCUAGCCCAAGAGCUACGAGAAACUCAAAGAACACUGCUUUACAACCAAAAGAUUUUUACCCUCUGACUUCUUGGAAUCCACUGGAUUUGUUACCCUAAGUGGUUCAGCUCCUGGCUCGCUAAUACAAUGUUUUAUAUUAAUAUUUCUUUUUCAUUUUAGAUCUCUCUUUUUUUAGAUGUCUAAUCUUCAGGUAUCUAAAACAACUCAACUUUGCCACCAUCCCUCAAUGGGUUGUUUAACUGGUUUUACAGGACACUGUCAAAAGAAUCCCUGAAAGACUAUAUCUUAGGCCUUGCUUCAUUCACCCCACUAAGGUUUAUGACUACCUCUCAGUUGUUCAGUGAUUAAUGAUGUUUAUCUUUGAAACAGGGAGAAUGAAAAUGUUGAAUGUCACCUGACUUUUGUACUCUUUGAAAGUAGUGAUGGAUAAGAAAUUGCCUCAUAUUUUCAUGUUCUGGGAAAUCAUAAGAGAUUACUCUGCCCUUAAAUGUAAGACCCAUCUCCAUGCAUUCUCUGCAGUCCUAUAAGAACUGAAGUUACCUCCCUUGUUUACUUGCCUCUAUAAAACUCCAGUCCUUCUUCCUUUUCUUUUAGCUGUUCCUCAUUAAUGCACAUUUUCCAGGCUGCAGUAGCCUGAAUAAAAUCAUAUCUUUAAUUGUUCAGUGCAUUUUGCCUUUCAAAAACUUCUCUAAAUUCCAUUUUUUUCACCUGUGCUUCUUAAAUAUCUGAAGAUUCACAAAUAUAUUGCAAAAGUUUGUGAUUAUUUAAGUUGGUAGUGGAGUUCCUUUUCAAUACAAUUUUUCAAACAAAAAAUAAUUAUUUUCCCCUUUAUAACUGAACAGAUUUUUAGGACCUCAGAAUGCACUUUGAGUAUGCACAACAGGGAGUAGGAAUCUGAUUAACAUGCUGUUCUCUCUCUCAUGCUUGCAUUCUCUCUCUCUCUCCGUCUCUCUCUCAGUAUCUUUAUCAGUCAGCUGAACACUGCUAGAACAAUUUACACCCUAAUGGAUGAUAGUUAAAGACCAUAAUCACAAGGAACACUUAAUGUUGAACAAUAAAUGAUUAUUUUGCAAAUUCACCUCAGGGAUCUUCAUUAUAUCUAUAAAUUAUAUCCUUCAGAUAAAGACCAUCACAUGCCGUAUAAUAAUUUCUGUAGUAAUUUAAAAAUAUAUAUUAAAAAGAUAAAAGAUGGUACUGAUCAUAGCGCAU